AGUAAUGCAAUGAUGGGUAAGAAGGCAGUGAAUUUGUGCAGCGAACCGGGGUAUGGUGUGAGCCCGGUACAAUGAAGCCGCCAGGCCGACCCGGAGUGCAGGCCGAAUCUCAGUAAGCUCUGCCGGUGCUUCGCCGUUACCGAAGUCUAAGUGGGUUGCCGGUGCACAGGCAACCAAUUAGGGUGGUACCACGGGUAUACAACCUCGUCCCUUUC
rnacentral:ncRNA from 1 species